UUUUCCCUGCUUUGCUCGUGAUGGUGGCAGGCUCGUUUGAGCCAAUGCAUCACCCAAGCGAGUCGCGAUGCUGCGUGGUGUGCAUGCCUCUGUUCGAGGAAGCCUGAAGCGCAGCUUAUAUCAGCGGCUCCACCUGCUACCGCAGGUUCAUCGACCUCCCCACACGGCAAAGCGGGGAAUUU
rnacentral:other from 1 species